AGUGAACGCUGGCGGUAGGCCUAACACAUGCAAGUCGAACGGCAGCACAGUAAGAGCUUGCUCUUACGGGUGGCGAGUGGCGGACGGGUGAGGAAUACAUCGGAAUCUACUUUUUCGUGGGGGAUAACGUAGGGAAACUUACGCUAAUACCGCAUACGACCUACGGGUGAAAGCAGGGGAUCUUCGGACCUUGCGCGAUCGAAUGAGCCGAUGUCGGAUUAGCUAGUUGGCGGGGUAAAGGCCCACCAAGGCGACGAUCCGUAGCUGGUCUGAGAGGAUGAUCAGCCACACUGGAACUGAGACACGGUCCAGACUCCUACGGGAGCCAGCAGUGGGGAAUAUUGGACAAUGGGCGCAAGCCUGAUCCAGCCAUACCGCGUGGGUGAAGAAGGCCUUCGGGUUGUAAAGCCCUUUUGUUGGGAAAGAAAAGCAGCAGGUUAAUACCCCGCUGUUCUGACGUUACCCAAAGAAUAAGCACCGGCUAACUUCGUG
rnacentral:rRNA from 1 species